UCCCGGUUGGCCCGGGCAGUCUCGCAUGAAAAAUACAACAUACGAUAAGGGUUGCGCUCGUUGCGGGACUUAACCCAACAUCUCACGACACGAGCUGACGACGGCCAUGCAGCACCUGUCAUUAGGCUCCAAAAGGCACUCCACUGUUUCCAGCGGAUUCCUAAGAUGUCAAGCCUCGGUAAGGUUCUACGCGUAGCGUCAUAUUAAACCACAUCCUCCUCUGCUUGUGCGGGUCCCCGUCAAUUCCUUUGAGUUUUAGCCUUGCGGCCGUACUUCCCAGGCGGCAUACUUAUCGCGUUAGCUUCGUCGCACAGGGGGUCGAUACCCCAUACGACUAGUAUGCAUCGUUUACGGCGUGGACUAC
rnacentral:misc_RNA from 1 species